rnacentral:rRNA from 1 species
AUGGUGGAAUUUGCCAGCGGUGUGAAAGGAAUCGCCUUAAAUCUUGAGAAUGAGAAUGUAGGUAUUGUUGUCUUUGGUAGUGAUACCGCUAUUAAAGAAGGAGAUCUUGUCAAGCGCACUGGAUCUAUUGUGGAUGUUCCUGCGGGAAAGGCCAUGUUAGGCCGUGUGGUCGACGCCUUGGGAGUACCUAUUGAUGGAAAAGGGGCUCUAAGCGAUCACGAACGAAGACGUGUCGAAGUGAAAGCCCCAGGGAUUAUUGAACGU